GAAUCCUAACUCAUGGGGAAUGUGAGGAUUAAAUGAGUCAACUCACCUUACAGUACCUGGCCCACAGCAGACACCCUGCUUGGUAAUGUUGGCCGUCAUCCUUCUCAGGACCACCCAACAAAGGCGUCCCUAGGGUAAACACGGCAGGACGCUUCUUCUUCCUCACCCAGGGACUUGCCACACUGCAGAGGGCUGCCCAGGCAGGACUGGAGAAGGUGGGCGGUCUGGUCCUUCAUGCAGUCGUGGUUGAGCCCGGAGUAGCGCCGUGAACUUCUGCUCCCCUUCCUACCCCGCCAGCUCUCCUGACAAAGCUCCAGUGUGGCUGCGCUCCACCUCCUCAUGGAGCCACAUUGGAAUCACCUGGAAGCUUGACCAUUUAUUUGAGCCAGGUGAUUCUCAUGUGCAGCCAAGACUGAGAACCUCAUGAAGACAGAUAAGCAGGGCUACUCCCGAGGGUGAGUGCUCAGCUUUUAUUGGAAGCAGGCUUGGCCUGAGUGCAUCUGAAUUCAUCCUUCCUGGUGCCCAAACCAGCCCAGAGAAUUCCUGUGGCUGGAGUGACCCAUACAGACAAUGUUAUAGAAAGGAUGCCAGCAACUAACGGGGCACAGAACUACAGGAGUGGGCAGGCUGUAAGGGCUCCCUAACUGAGAAUGCCGUGUCUCCAUGCAACACCCUGGGUCUGCCUCUAAUGCCUGGAGUCUUUCCUGUUCCAAGAACCAGCAAGGCUGUGGUCAUGUGAAAAGCAUUCUUGGGGGUUGUGUGUGCACAGCCAACAUGACUGCACACAAGGGCCUCGACCAAAGGCAGUACACACAAUGUCUGGCAUCUCUCAGGACAGUGAUCCAAAACACGUGUUUGGCCAAGGCUCAGGAAGACCCCACACUAAUAGGCCCCACCACGCCAUCAGCCAGGAGGGAAGCCUGCCUGUCCCCGUCCUCACCGAAGGAUGGUCACCAACAGGAGAAGCUGCUCUAGAAGCACGGGAGGAAGACGCUCAGCCCAGAUCCACUCCAGAUCCCACAAAUAGGCUUGAGCAGGCUUGGGCAAAGCGUGGAUUAUGUAAAUACGUAUUUGGGGACUUUUUAAACACAGAUUAUUCACCCAAUUAACUCUAAUGGCCCCUCAGAGCUGAGAGAGAGUAUUGUGUAAACACGUGGGGCUGAAUGUGGCCUCAGCCCCAAGAUUUCCUCAAAAGACGGGGUUUACGAGUCCCCCAUAAGGGUUCCCCCUGGGCCCCAACUUGGCAGAUAAGUUCAUUGCCCGAAAGGGAAUUCUUGCCUAAAAAUCUGAAAAGGGUAAGAAUAAAAAGAAGGAUCUAGCCCCCUUUUAGCAAGUAGGGAGCUCUCUGGGUACAGAUUUUAUAUAUAUUUUCAUUUGCCAUAAAACAUACCAUUAUAUGACAUAGAACAUCUGGUAGCCUAUGGUAGCCUAGCUCUUUCCCAAUAAUAGGAGAAAUUGUAGAUUUCUCUCCAGCAGCCACUUACGUUCACAUAUUCUAAAUGUUUCCCACUGGAUACAACACAGCCGGGAGGGCGGCCAAACCCGGGCCUGCCUCAGUGAGGCGGUGGGAGACCCACCCCAGUCAGUCCUGUUAAGAACAGGGAGGUUCGGCACACCAGUCCCAGCGGGGAGCCCCCAGGAGGGGCUGGGCCUCCUCCAAGAGAUGAGCACAGGGUCGACCCCCCAACGCAGAGAGCCUUGGAGUCCAAGGGGGUGUGUCCAUGGUCAAGUCUGCUGACCGAUGGGGGAACAGGGGCGAUCUUCCUGACCCAGAGAUCAAACCCAGGUCUCCUGCAUUGCAGGCAGACUCCUUACUGUCUGAGCCACCAAGGAAGCCAAGCAGGAAGUCUGUCAGAGCAAAUGUCAUUUCCCCCAGAAGCCAAGUAUGGGCUCUUACAACUCUUUGGUGGCCGAUGACCAAACAAAAAUUACUCCCAGUGCUGGGCACUUGGCACACGGUGGUGUUCAGUAACCAUCUGAACAAAAGGGCUUCACCAAGACAAAUAACCAGGAGGAGGAGGCAUCUCCAGGCUGCACACUGAGAAUGGUACGGAAGCAGGGAGAGAAGGGGCAGGCACCACCUCCCUCGAUUCAGCUCUGCCAACAGCCCUGUGAGGGCUCUAUUUAGGAUGCCUGGGGCUCGUUCAUCCUGACAGCGCAGGAGACCUGGCGGGUCCAAGCAGAGGAAUCAACAUGAGCAGAAGAAUGGUGGUGCAAGGCAGCCAGUGUGUUUGGGAAAUGUGAGAAGGUCAGCAGGGCUCGAGGAAGUUCUAGAGAACACAGAGGAGAGCCGCAGCAGUCUACAGAGCUGGGGGCGGAGGCCACCACAUGCCAGCCCGAGGAGCCUGGGUGCUAUCCUGGAUGACAGAGAGCAUGACCUUAACUUGUCACCCACGCAGGAGACAGUCACCAGCUGCUUCAGUGUUGUAAGCAGGGGACCCCCACUCAGAUCUUUCAGCAGGUCAGCAUCACAUCAUUAGGC
ensembl:lncRNA